rnacentral:rRNA from 1 species
UUUAUGGAGAGUUUGAUCCUGGCUCAGGAUGAACGCUGGCGGCGUGCCUAAUACAUGCAAGUCGAGCGAACGGACGAGAAGCUUGCUUCUCUGAUGUUAGCGGCGGACGGGUGAGUAACACGUGGAUAACCUACCUAUAAGACUGGGAUAACUUCGGGAAACCGGAGCUAAUACCGGAUAAUAUUUUGAACCGCAUGGUUCAAAAGUGAAAGACGGUCUUGCUGUCACUUAUAGAUGGAUCCGCGCUGCAUUAGCUAGUUGGUAAGGUAACGGCUUACCAAGGCAACGAUGCAUAGCCG